rnacentral:rRNA from 1 species
GACAGAGGAUGCAAGCGUUAUCCGGAAUGAUUGGGCGUAAAGCGUCUGUAGGUGGCUUUUUAAGUCCGCCGUCAAUCCCAGGGCUCAACCCUGGACAGGCGGUGGAAACUACCAAGCUGGAGUACGGUAGGGGCAGAGGGAAUUUCCGGUGGAGCGGUGAAAUGCGUAGAGAUCGGAAAGAACACCAACGGCGGAAAGCACUCUGCUGGGCCGGACACUGAGCACUGAGAGACGAAAGCUGGGGAGCGAAUGGG